rnacentral:rRNA from 1 species
UACGGGGGGGGCAAGCGUUGUUCGGAAUUACUGGGCGUAAAGGGCUGUAGGCGGCCAACUAAGUCGGAUGUGAAAUCCCCAGGCUUAACCUGGGAACUGCAUCCGAUACUGGUCGGCUUGAAUCCGGGAGAGGGAUGCAGAAUUCCAGGUGUAGCGGUGAAAUGCGUAGAUAUCUGGAGGAAUACCGGUGGCGAAGGCGGCAUCCUGGACCGGCAUUGACGCUGAACAGCGAAAGCUAGGGGAGCAAACGGG